rnacentral:rRNA from 1 species
UACGAAGGGGGCUAGCGUUGCUCGGAAUCACUGGGCGUAAAGGGUGCGUAGGCGGGUCUUUAAGUCAGGGGUGAAAUCCUGGAGCUCAACUCCAGAACUGCCUUUGAUACUGAGGAUCUUGAGUUCGGGAGAGGUGAGUGGAACUGCGAGCGUAGAGGUGAAAUUCGUAGAUAUUCGCAAGAACACCGAUGGCGAAGGCGGCGACCUGGUCCGUGACUGACGCUGAGGCGCGAAAGCGUGGGGAGCAAACAGG